rnacentral:lncRNA from 1 species
AGACACACACGAGGUGCGCAAGAAAGCCGGAUGGCUAGCAUAUGUGGUGUUUGAUACUCAGUGCUACGUUACUGUAGUAUGAAAAUCUCGAUUCUCCAGAAAGGUGCUUUACUGGAACUGGAUCGUUGAGAACGUGGAGAGGAAACAGAAGCAUGAGAGGCCUUCACCCAGACAGCCCUCGUUUUCCAUCCCCCCUAACGAUCCUCCAUCGAUAUCAUUGAGAACCAGCGACAGAAUUAAUGAAUGAACAGAAAUAAACUUCCAGAAUCCCUGUGUUUGAGAGAGCACAGACCUCAGAUCUCAGCAGUCAGCCAUGUAGCGGCCUGUGAACGCACAAAAAAACACACACACACACAUCACCUCCUUUGUUAUUUCAAAGGCAAAACUAAAAAGAAGUAUUGAACAUGUCAUGACAUUCACUGGUAAAUAUGUUUCUAAACGAGCUCUUGACAUAAAAUUGACUCAGAUUUUGGUAAAAACCCAAACAAUCCAAACAUCUGAAAUUAAGUUGUGUAUUAUGAAUGGACUGACACAAAGAGAAAAUACUAAAAUGUAUUUUAUAUUUUUUUCUUUAAAAGCCUUUUUCUUGUUGUAAUGACAGCUUGUAUGGAGAAUCGAGUCACAUGCACUGCUCUUGUGUGAUUUCUUCCCCCAGACCUCAAUAGACUCUGAGGGUCUCGUCUGUUUAAUCUGAUCCUUAGUUCUUAUUUUCUAUUUGAUUCAGGUCAGGUGAUUGGCAGUCAUUAUAGCAGCUUUAUUUUCUUUUCUCAAACCAACUUUCAAGCCAUGUUUUCUUGGCUGCGUUUGGGGUGGUGGUCUUGCUGAAAUGUCCACCUUGGUUUCACCUUCAUCAUCUGUAAUUUAGGUGUUGGGACUGAAGCAGCUAAUAUUCAUUUACACCAGGGGUCACCAAACUUGUUCCUGGAGGGCCGGUGUCCUGCAGAUUUUAGCUCCAACCCUAAUUAAACACAACUGAACAAGCUAAUCAAACUCUUACUAGCUAUACUUGAAACAACCAGGCAGGUGUGUUGAGGCAAGUUGGAGCUAAACCCUGCAGGGAGACCGGCCCUCCAAGACCGAGAUUGGUGACCCAUGAUUUACACUAAUGAAAGGCAGAGGGUUGCUGAAUAACUACUGAGAGAUUUUAGCUGCUGUCUGGGCUUUCCUUAUCUUUUUUACACAUGCCUUUUUUCAUGUGUUCAAUACUUUUCUCUGUGUCAUGUUAUUUACCCUAACUUAAUUUCUAAACGAAUUACCUUUGU